rnacentral:rRNA from 1 species
GAGCUGUCCUUAGUACGAGAGGACCGGGAUGGACAUACCUCUGGUGUACCAGUUGUCGUGCCAACGGCAUAGCUGGGUAGCUAUGUAUGGACGGGAUAAGUGCUGAAAGCAUCUAAGCAUGAAGCCCCCCUCAAGAUGAGAUUUCCCAACUUCGGUUAUAAGAUCCCUCAGAGAUGAUGAGGUUAAUAGGUUCGAGGUGGAAGCGUGGUGACACGUGGAGCUGAUGAAUACUAAUCGAUCGAAGACUUAAUCAAUUU